rnacentral:rRNA from 1 species
CAGUAGCCACGGUAAUACGAAGGGGGCUAGCGUUGUUCGGAUUUACUGGGCGUAAAGCGCACGUAGGCGGACUUUUAAGUCAGGGGUGAAAUCCCGGGGCUCAACCCCGGAACUGCCUUUGAUACUGGAAGUCUUGAGUAUGGUAGAGGUGAGUGGAAUUCCGAGUGUAGAGGUGAAAUUCGUAGAUAUUCGGAGGAACACCAGUGGCGAAGGCGGCUCACUGAACCAUUACUGACGCUGAGGUGCGAAAGCGUGGGGAGCAAACAGGAUUAGAUACCCCCGUAGUCCCUGUCUCUUAUAU